CUUUACUGCAACUUGACGUUGGAACUUGGCCGUAUUUGUGUAGGAUAGGUGGGAGACUUUGAAGCAGGGCCGCCAGGUCUUGCGGCGUCGUCGUUGAAAUACCACCCUGGUGCUGACGAGUUUCUAACCGUGUCCGUAAGCCGGACAUGAGACAGCGUCUGGUGGGCAGUUUGACUGGGGCGGUCGCCUCCUAAAAGGUAACGGAGGCAUUCAAAGGUCCCCUCAGCGUGGUCGGUAAUCACGCGCAGAGUGCAAACGCAUAAGGGGGCUUAACUGCGAGACCGACAGGUCGAGCAGGUACGAAAGUAGGAGUUAGUGAUCCCGCGGUUUAGCGUGGAAUUGCCGUUGCCCAAUGGAUAAAAGGUA
rnacentral:rRNA from 1 species